rnacentral:rRNA from 1 species
GAUGAACGCUGGCGGUCUGCUUAACACAUGCAAGUCGAACGGAAUCCUUCGGGAUUUAGUGGCGGACGGGUGAGUAACACGUGAGAAUCUGCACUCAGGAUGGGGACAACAGCGGGAAACUGCUGCUAAUACCCAAUGUGCCGCAAGGUGAAAGAUUUAUCGCCUGAGAAUGAGCUCGCGGCCGAUUAGUUAGUUGGUGGGGUAAAGGCCUACCAAGACGGCGAUCGGUAGCUGGUCUGAGAGGAUGAGCAGCCACACUGGGACUGAGACACGGCCCAGACUCCUACGGGAGGCAGCAGUGGGGAAUUUUCCGCAAUGGGCGCAAGCCUGACGGAGCAAGACCGCGUGGGGGAGGAAGGCUCUUGGGUUGUAAACCCCCUUUUCUCAGGGAAGAACACAAUGACGGUACCUGAGGAAUCAGCCUCGGCUAACUCCGUG